rnacentral:rRNA from 1 species
GACGAACCGAGCGAACGUUGUUCGGAAUCACUGGGCUUAAAGGGCGCGUAGGCGGGCUGUCAAGUCUGGGGUGAAAUCCCGCGGCUCAACCGUGGAACUGCCUUAGAUACUGACGGCCUCGAGGGAGAUAGGGGCGAGCGGAACUGUGAGUGGAGCGGUGAAAUGCGUUGAUAUUCACAGGAACUCCGGUGGCGAAGGCGGCUCGCUGGAUCUCUUCUGACGCUGAGGCGCGAAAGCUAGGGUAGCAAACGGG